GGCUGAUGAACAGCCUUUCACCCCGACUCAUUUGCCCAUUUAGGAGCCCAGCUGAGGUUAACCCCAGUUAAUUACCAGAUUGCUCUCAGCUGCGUUCUGUUGGGGGGAUCUCAAACCGAUGCCCAGAGGACAACAGAGCACCAUACAGAGCAGUGCAAGCUGGAGCUGAGGGAGCUGCCCUGGGAUUAAAUUCAUCAUGGAGAACCAACUUGAAGCAGUUUAUGGGUUGGUACGUAGAGUAUGCUUAGGCUGUUUCUUUCCAAAAGAGAAAUGGGUGAUUUUAAAUGCCAUCACAGCCUUCUCUCAUUAGUGUAAGUUAACUUGAGAGUGCUUUUCCAUUCUGAAUGUCAUCACAUGGAGCAGAAAUCACUCAGCAGCACCGCGAGCUCUGAAAGGGUGAAUGAUUUUAAGUUCUUGAAACUUGAGAAAGAAGAUGGGGAGGACAGAGGUUGUAAUGAAACCCUCACUGGGAACCUGAGGGCAGAGGGGGAAUAUGAGCUACUGCAGUGUCAGAAAUUCUUGGAUUUGUUGAAACUUGGUUCUGGAAGGAGUGAGCCAGAAAGAAAUCCCCCCAAAAAAGAAGAGGAAAAAAUGCAAUAUCCUUUCACUUCAGUGCGUUGUUGUAAGUAUAGUCAUUUCUGGGAGAAGUAUCAAGGCUUACUGCUGUUCUCGGCACUGCCACGAGGGAUGAAUGAGCUCUCAUGAAUGGAAGAAUCAUCAUCAUCGUGUAGAAAUCAAUGUGGUUUGGCCUUGGAAAGAGUGAUUGUAGCUCAACCGCUUGUGUACAAGCAAGAGUUCUCUUCUAAUUGCCUGGCUUGCCAAGAAGGGAAUUUGGCUGUUUUCUUCUCCCUGGGAGUAACUUUGACUUCACGAGGAUAAACUCAGUUGGUUAAGGUGUAUUUAGGAACACUUCUGUCUUGUCCUUUGUGAGGUCUUACUCGAGCAAGGGAGGACUCAGCUUGAGGUUGAACUGCCACAGAGAUAUCAGAGCUGAAGGAGAAAGGCUGUUGUCUGUAAUGCUCUCUUGUUGUCAUAACCAGUGUGAUGUGGAGCCCAUGGGAGGUGAUGAAGACAGGCAGCCUAUGGAGACACAUUGCGCUGCGUGCGGAGUGUGUGUGAUACCCUUACCACAACAGAACCUGCUAUGAGUUAUGAUGUGAAACUCCUGCACAGGGCAAGAGAAACCACUGCUGCCUCCGGAGCUCUGCUGCUCCAAGGCCUCUCCGUCUGGUGGCUGCUGCCAGAGAGCUGGAAACGCUCUGAGUGUUCCUGGGUUUGAACCUCUGAGUGCCUGUGUAAACCUGGACCAGCUGCUUCCACCUUCCGUGCUUCCCGGAGCGGUUCCCAAACAAAAGCACGCUUGCUAUAAAUUUCCAGUGCCACUUUGGCAGCUCGUGUAUUGACUUUUCCAUCCUCCUUUUCUGGAUUUUGUUUCCUCUCACCUUUUAAGUUUCUUCCGUUUUCCCCAAGGGAGUACUUACGUUCUCAGAUUGAAAACAGAAGGUUGUUCAGGUUGAUUGUUAGCAUGCUGUCAAACGGUAUUUUCCAUAUAAAAAUAUUUAUUUUACUUCAAGCCACAUCUUUCUGAUGGAAGAAGGGCUUAAAGGAGUCAGCGUCUGGGAGCUUCUGUGCAUAAAUGUUUCAG
ensembl:lncRNA